GACGAACGCUGGCGGCGUGCUUAACACAUGCAAGUCGAACGAAGUGGCGAACGGGUGAGUAACGCGUAAUCAACCUGCCCUUCAGAGGGGGACAACAGUUGGAAACGACUGCUAAUACCGCAUACUGAAGGAGGGGAUGGCGGCUGAUUAGCUAGUUGGAGGGGGAACGGCCCACCAAGGCGAUGAGCCGUAGCCGGUCUGAGAGGAGGAACGGCCACAUUGGGACUGAGAAACGGGCCAGACUCCUACGGGAGGCAGCAGUGGGGAAUCUUCCGCAAUGGACGAAAGUCUGACGGAGCAACGCCGCGGGAGUGAUGAAGGCCUUCGGGUUGUAAAGCUCUGUUAAGCGGGACGCGGUACCGGAAUAGAAAGCCACGGCUAACUACGUGCCAGCAGCCGCGGUAAUAC
rnacentral:rRNA from 1 species